AUACGUAGGGUGCGAGCGUUAAUCGGAAUUACUGGGCGUAAAGCGUGCGCAGGCGGUUCUGUAAGUCAGAUGUGAAAUCCCCGGGCUCAACCUGGGAACUGCGUUUGAAACUACAGGACUGGAGUAUGGCAGAGGGGGGUAGAAUUCCACGUGUAGCAGUGAAAUGCGUAGAGAUGUGGAGGAAUACCAAUGGCGAAGGCAGCCCCCUGGGUCAAUACUGACGCUCAUGCACGAAAGCGUGGGGAGCAAACAGGAUUAGAUACCCUGGUAGUCCACGCCCUAAACGAUGUCUACUAGUUGUUGGGAGAGUAAAAUCUCUUAGUAACGCAGCUAACGCGUGAAGUAGACCGCCUGGGGAGUACGGUCGCAAGAUUAAA
rnacentral:rRNA from 1 species